UACUUAAAGCCACACUAGAACAAGCAGU
rnacentral:sRNA from 1 species